GACGAACGCUGGCGGCGUGCUUAACACAUGCAAGUCGAACGGAAAGGCCCUGCUUUUGUGGGGUGCUCGAGUGGCGAACGGGUGAGUAACACGUGAGUAACCUGCCCUUGACUUUGGGAUAACUUCAGGAAACUGGGGCUAAUACCGGAUAGGAGCUCCUGCUGCAUGGUGGGGGUUGGAAAGUUUCGGCGGUUGGGGAUGGACUCGCGGCUUAUCAGCUUGUUGGUGGGGUAGUGGCUUACCAAGGCUUUGACGGGUAGCCGGCCUGAGAGGGUGACCGGACACAUUGGGACUGAGAUAAGGCACAGACCACUACGGGAGGCAGGAGUGGGGAAGAUUGUACGAUAGGCGGAAGGCUGAUGCAGCAACGCAGCGUGCGGGAUGACGGCAUUCGGGUUGUAAACCGCUUUCGCCUGAGACGAAGCGAGAGUGACGGUAAUGGGUAAAGAAGCACCGGCUAACUACGUG
rnacentral:rRNA from 1 species